rnacentral:rRNA from 1 species
GACGAACGCUGGCGGCGUGCUUAACACAUGCAAGUCGAACGGAAGGGCCCUGCUUUUGCGGGGUGCUCGAGUGGCGAACGUGUGAGUUACACGUGAGUAACCUGCCCUUGACUUUGGGAUAACUUCAGGCAACUGGGGCUAAUACCGGAUAGGAGCUCCUGCUGCUUGGUGGGGGUUGGAACGCUUGGGCGGUUGGGGAUGGACUGGGGGGUUACCAGCUUGUUGGUGGGGUAGUGGCUUACCAAGGGUUUGACGGGUAGCCCGCCUGGGAGGUUGGACGGCGACAUUGGGACUGCGAGAGGCAGCAGACUGCAACGGGAGGCAGCAGGGGAGAGUAUUGCACAGUGGGCGGAAGCCUGAUGCAGCAGCGCCGCGUGCGGGAUGACGGCCUUCGGGUUGGGAACCGCAGUAGCCUGUGACGAAGCUGGAGUGACGGUAAUGGGUAAAGAAGCACCGGCUAACUACGUG